GCUGGGCAUGGUGGUGCAUGCCUGUAAUCCCAGAUACUCGGGAGGCUGAGGCAGGAGGAUCAAUUGAGCCUGGGUGGUGGAAGUUGUAGUGAGCUUAGAUUGUACCACUGCACUUCAGCCUGGGCAACAGAGUGAUACUCUGUCUCAA
rnacentral:sRNA from 13 species